GAUUAUUUUAAAUUUUGCAAUAGUUAUACUCGUAAUAUCCAGGGGGUAGAUCUGUAAAUGUAGAAAUCUUGCGGACACCCAGUCCAAGUGACCAUACUUUCACGAUCUUUCUCUGUCUUUUAGUGUGAAGUUUCUCUACAUGAGCCACGAAGACUACGUUCCUUUGGUCUCUAGUAUCGGCUGCGUUCUGGUUUACAUGGUUGAUGGAUUACUCAAGUUU